CGCUCUUCCCUUGCCGCAGAACCGCAGACUCGCGAUGGCUGUGCGGCUGUGACGCGGUGAUCUAAAUCAACUCCGGCCUCCCGUCGCUGUCGUCCACCUUCUAACAUCGCGCAUGGGGCGAUCUUGGCCGUCGCGGCACCCGGCACUAGUGCUGGCUUUGGGGUGGGAGGCCCUGCGCUACUGUCAGGCGAGUCAUGGGCUGCUCGAACUAGCGCCAGGCCACCAACGGCCAGGAGACUAGGAUGUCAUCAAGGACCAACUGUCCAUGGAAGAAGCAAGCAAGAGAAGAAAAUUUCCUAAGUAAAUUGCCAUGCGAGCCGGCGGCGGCGAAGUGCUGAGCAGGCGGCGGGGCGGGUAUGGCGCGACGAGCGGGGCCGCGGCCGUAGCGGCAUAGCGAGCAGGAAGGCCGCAACAGCCUCACAUCUGUUCAAGCUCGAGUUUGUCAGGUAGCUAGGAUCAUUUUACUCCCUCACAUCUAAAAUCAAACCUAUUCAAUUUGGUACAGGCCUGCGCAUCCCAUCCCCAACUCCGCAGUAGGCGCCCAGGCUCUGGUGGCUCAAGCUCCAAUCGUGGGGCCCCUUUAUCCGUGCCCUUGUCGAGGAGCUGCGGCUAACCGACGAUGGAGUCCCAAUCCUCUUGUCAGGCUCCACUGCUCCAACCCCAUCCAGAUGGUUCAUAUAUUUUCUUCCACGAGUGCUGCCAGUGUUUGCUUCAUGUACGCUCAGAUAAUUCACAAAGCUAGGAAACCUACUAAAGACAUUCCCGGAACAGUCACAUUGUAUUUUGUGAUAGAAAAGGAUUGUACACAACAAUGUAACUAAAUCAGAUAAAUCUAUUUGGAGAUUCCAUUUUUUAGAAAUUCCAACAUAUUUGAUGAUUGUACUAUUUUUAUGAGCAAACUUUUAUGCCUGAGUUUGCUAGCUCGCGCAGCAGUGCGAUGAUUUCUGCUAAUUUUAGUAGUUUCCAUC